CUGUGGGCAGGGAGCUACGUUGGGCUGGAGUAGGGCCUACGGGCUGAACGGUGGCAUCCUCCGCCGCUCGCUGGAGUCCGCACUGCCUUAGGAACCCAAGAAGCCAUCCUUUGACUUAGAGCCGGUGCCAGUUUUCAACUUGAGGGUGGAGGGAUUUCAACUAAAGAAGGCAGCCCUGCUUGGACAAUUCAAGGGCUCUAGAGAGCUAGUGUCAGUGUGCAGAAGAGUCCAGGAUGUCUGGUGAGAGGUUGACACCUGAUAGAACAGUAGCAGUACCUUUAAGGUAAUAUUUGUCUACCUACUAAAUGGCUAAAAGAUUCAGCUCCAAUUCAAGUCAUGGAUGGAACAUAUCACCUCUCACAGUGCUCCUCUUGAAUAAGGAAGUGCGCUGUGACAUUUUUCAAAUGAACAAUGCUUUUGAUUUCUUCUACUUUAAAUGGAACUUGUAAAUUCAAAAUCAGUCUCCUAUAAUUCAAGUCUGCAAAUAUUUGAAAAAUGUAGGAAUGUUUAUCAUUUUA